GGAGGGUGCGAGCGUUGUUCGGAAUUACUGGGCGUAAAGAGCUUGUAGGCGGCUUGUUAAGUCUGAUGUGAAAGCCCUCGGCUCAACCGGGGAAGUGCAUUGGAUACUGGCGAGCUUGAGUAUGGGAGAGGAGAGCGGAAUUCCCGGUGUAGAGGUGAAAUUCGUAGAUAUCGGGAGGAACACCAGUGGCGAAGGCGGCUCUCUGGACCAAUACUGACGCUGAGAAGCGAAAGCGUGGGGAGCAAACAGGAUUAGAUACCCUGGUAGUCCACGCCGUAAACGAUGGGUACUAGGUGUUGGGGGUUUUACCCCCUCAGUGCCGGAGCUAACGUAUUAAGUACCCCGCCUGGGAAGUACGGCCGCAAGGCUA
rnacentral:rRNA from 1 species